AGCGAACGCUGGCGGCAGGCCUAACACAUGCAAGUCGAACGAACCUUUCGGGGUUAGUGGCGGCCGGGUGAGUAACACGUGGGAACGUGCCUUUAGGUUCGGAAUAACUCAGGGAAACUUGUGCUAAUACCGAAUGUGCCCUUCGGGGGAAAGAUUUAUCGCCUUUAGAGCGGCCCGCGUCUGAUUAGCUAGUUGGUUGAGGUAAUGGCUCACCAAGGCGACGAUCAGUAGCUGGUCUGAGAGGAUGAUCAGCCACAUUGGGACUGAGACACGGCCCAAACUCCUACGGGAGGCAGCAGUGGGGAAUCUUGCGCAAUGGGCGAAAGCCUGACGCAGCCAUGCCGCGUGAAUGAUGAAGGUCUUAGGAUUGUAAAAUUCUUUCACCGGGGACGAUAAUGACGGUACCCGGAGAAGAAGCCCCGGCUAACUUCGUG
rnacentral:rRNA from 1 species